UCCGUUACCACCAUCUUUCAUCCGAGUUUGGCUCCUCUUUAAAUCUUCAAACGCAACCAUCCACGAAAGCACGUACUAAUUUCCUUAAUGACGAGCAUUGAGCCAUAUACGACUUCCUUUCUCCUGCACUGUCCAAAGCACACGAAUGAUUUUUCUUCUGUUGCAGGGUGAAAUGAAUGUGAUUUCGUGGCCGAGGAUGAGGAAAUAAAAGAAGGGUUCUUCUGGACCCGCAAAGGAGCUCCACCUGCGCGAGUCUCUCCGAAUCGAUGCUGUUUCUCAUGUCCUUUUUCUUGUAUUUGUCUUGGUGAAAUAAAAUGGUCAACCAUUGCAAUGCAAUAAUGCGUAUGUUUUUCAUACCUCGAGUUCUCUCUUCAUCUAUUUUUCAGUGUUAUUUUGCGUAUGCUGGUCAACCUCAGUGAUCACAUGCAUUAAAUUGCCCAAUAGGACCAAGAUCCAGACGAGGGAGAGAGAGAGAGAGAAAGAGAUACCGAUUCAUAUCGACCAACUCGACCUAUACCCUACUAGUUUCACGGAUUUAUACGGCGUAUGCCGCCAGCAUAACAAUCUUUUCGCACAAGCAAUAUCGGAAUGGAAAUGUUGAUCCGUUCAUGGGAUGAACCUACGUGCUAAAAUUAAGAAUUGUUCAUCUGUCAUUGUUUAAAACCUACUUGCGUUAAGUCAAUUUAUACGCUUGACGCGGACACCUCAUAGAAAAAACAACUCUAGGAUACGGAGUUAAAUUAAGAUUAGCAUAUCAAAUCAUGGAUUGUAUGAUAUGAUGAAGUAUGUGUAAAUAUGGGGAUAAAAUCAAUUAAGAGUGAAUUACCCCCCAAAAAAAUUAUUAAUCUCUUAUAAUGAAAGUGAUCCCAUCUUUAUUUUCAAACUAGAACUUUGUUUUUCAAAGUUCCAUCGAGAUCCAUAUCGAUUUACUUGAGUGAAUUCCACUAAUGUACUCAUUUAGCAUUGUAUUUUCUUAAAUCUUACUUUAAACGUAUUGACAAUUCCAUUCUAUUAUCUCUUUCUUCGUAUUACUUUUUUUCAUAAGAGAUUGUCUUUUUUUCUGACGGUAUUACUUUUUUUUCGCCAUUCUUCAAAAAUAUUAUCUAGAUACGGUUGAAGCCAACAUUAAUUGAGUAUUUUUGUGGAAAAGUACUUUGCUUAGCAUUACAAAAUUAUAUAAUUACAAUGAAGAGCCACCAAGAAAAAGUAUUUCUCUAUCCCAAAUAAUUAUCUAGGCUCAUAUAAAAAAUUCAAGAACAAUAUUUACAAAAUUUCGAACUGAACUUUGUAAUUUUUUUUAAUACUUAUUAAGAGUAAUAUACCCUUUAUAGUGUGAAUGCACACCGACUGUCGUGGCGAGUAGCGAAGACUAUUGCAGAAUUAAAAAAUUUAUAAUUAAUGUAAUAUUAUUACACUUGACAAGAUGUUAAAAUUUGGAAUUUUGUAGGUUUUGUUUAUCUAAAACAACCGCAUUUUCCUGAUUUUAAAAUUGUUUACUAAAUUUUGUCAAUUUGUGGGGGUCACAUUGCAAUGAAAACAGUUACUACAGACUUUAGUUAUAUAUUUACCAAAUAAAAAGUUAUUUUUAGUAAUUUAAGUAUCAUUAAGUAUUCUAAAUUUUAAGAAAUCCUGACACCACAAAGUUGGACCUUGCACCCUCGUCUAGGACCUCGGCUCUUGAACCCAAACCUUUGGGUUGGAUAGGACCAUACCUAAUUCUGAGCACUUAAGUUCAAGUGUCUGCUCCGAACUGUACUUUGUCUAGCCCCCAAGAUCCCUUAUCCAACCCUUGAUUCUUGGAUGCAACCUCUAUUGUACCUAAUAUAAAUGUCGAGGUUGUUAAAUUGCUUAAGGGAGGAGAGAUGAGGCUGAAACUUCAUAUUUUGUACAGAACCACCAAGUCUUUUAUAAAAGACAAAAUACAUAAUGUAAAAACACCACUAAAAUAGGACCCAUAACUACUCAUGUUCUGCAUAAAACACUUACUCUACCAACACCUAAAAACUAGGACAACUAACACACAUGACUCCACUAACUCUAAUAAUUGAAAAACCAAAUCAGCAAAACGUGCAAAAGGAAAUAACUAUUAUUUCAAUAAUCACUCCCUUAAACUGAUGUUUACUAACAUUCAGUUUAAAGCCUUGACUGUUUUCAAUGUGCAAACACUUAAUAACCUUCUCAGCUUCACAAAUGACUCCAUCUUGAGGGUCUUAGUGAAUAUAUCAGCAACUUGAUCUUCACUCCUACAAUAGAUUAGAUCAAUUGUUCCAUCAUUGCUAAGAUCUUUCAAGAAAUAAAACUUCACAUCAAUAUGCUUGCUUCUUCCAUGUAGCACAGGAUUCUUGGAGAGUUUGAUUGCUGAGUUGUUGUCACAAAAAAUUUUAGUAGCUCCUAGUUGUUUAAAUUGCAGCUUCUCAAGAAUUCUUCUUAGCCAAAUAACUUGACAAGCACUAGCUGUUGCAGCAACAAAUUCAACUUCUGUAUUUGACAACGUGACAAUUGGUUUUUUCUUGGAUGACCACGAAAUAGCACCUGUCUCAAACAUAAAAGUAUAACCUUAAGUGUUUCUCCUAUCAUCUUGAUCUCCUGCAUAGUCACUGUCAGUAAAUCCCAACAAAUUGGACUUUUCACCAUUCUUGUAAAAUAGCUCAAAGCCUCUAGUUUCUUGCAAGUAACGAAUGAUUCUCUUGGCAGCUAACAAAUGCAUUUUUGUAGGAUUCUCCAUAUGUCUACUGAUUAAACUCACAUAAUACAUUAUGUCUGGUCUUGUUGCAGUUAGAUACAUCAAACUGCCCACAAUUUGUUUAUAAAGUGUGCUGUCAACAUUCCUCUCUUCAUCUUUACCAAAAAAAAAAACCUUCCUCUCUUCAUGAUUUUUAUAUAACUUUAAGCCAAACUCAACUGGAGUGUUUACAGGAUUAUAAUCCUUCAUCUAAAACCCGUCCAAAAUUUCUCCCACAUAUUUCUUUUGAAAAAUAAAGAUCCCAUCAUCCGAUUGUACCACUUCUAUGCCAAGAAAGUAAUGCAUCAUACCAAGAUCAGACAUUUUAAACUCAUUCAUCAUAAAUUUAUUGAAUUCUUCAAACAUGCCAUCACAACUUCCAGUAAAUAUAAGAUCAUCAACAUACAAGCAGACAAUAAGCAUUUUUCCUUUAUCUCCAAUCUUGAAAGCGUAUGUUCAUAAGAACAUUUUGAAAAACCAACUUUAAGAAAAUAAGUUUCAAUACGACUAUACCAAGCUCGAGGAGCUUGUUUUAACCCAUAAAGAGCUUUCUUCAAUCUAUAAACUUUAUGCUUAUUUCCAAUCUUGACAUAAUCAGGGGGUUGCUCAACAAAUAUCUGUUCCUCCAAGUAUCCAUGCAAGAAUGUCGAUUUAACAUCUAGUUGGAAAAUAGGCCAAGAAUUCCGUGCCGCCAAUGCAACCACCAAUCUAAUCGUGUCAUGUCUCGCAAUUGGAGAAAAAACUUCUGUAUAGUCAAUCCCAUAUUGUUGCUUGUAUCCCUUGGCUACCAAACGUGCUUUGUAUUUGUCAACUUCACCAUUUUCUUUCAGUUUUGUUUUAAAGACCCAUUUUACACCAAUGGUUUUGUGUCCAUUCGGAAGAUCGAAUAGCUCCCAAAUGUCAUUUCUUUCGAUGGCAUUAAUUCGGGCCCCAACCACCAACCAACCCCCAUACCUCCUCCCCAUGCAGCGCAGCCCCUCGUUUCUUCAUUUCACACCCUCAAGGCAUCACGGCAUUCGCCUAUAAGAGCCGACCCUCAAGCACAGCCAGCCCUCGUGUACUCAUCUCUCUCGCUCUCGUCACUUCUCAAGCACACUGCACUGCAUCACCACUUGCGCCAUCUGCCCCCGCCCCAACAUGGUGAGCCUCAAGCUGGUGUGCUUGGCUCUGGUGGUCGGUCUCGUGGUGGCCAUGCCCCUCACCGAGUCAGCCAUCACCUGUGGCCAGGUGAGGAGCUGGGUGGCCCCAUGCCUCGGGUACCUGAGGGCCGGCGGAAAGAUCCCCUCAGCUUGCUGCAGCGGCAUCAGGUCGCUCAAUAAUGCUGCCAGGACCACUCAUGACCGCCGGACCACCUGCCGGUGCGUACAGUCCGCCGCCGGCAACAUCCAGGGCCUCAACCUUGGCCUCGUGUCCGCGCUCCCAGGCAAAUGUGGGGUCCGCAUCCCUUACAAGAUCAGCCCCUCCACCGACUGCAGCAGGUACUCCGUUACCACCAUCUUUCAUCCGAGUUUGGCUCCUCUUUAAAUCUUCGAACGCAACCAUCCACGAAACGCACGUGCUGGUUUCCCUAAUGACGAGCAUUGAGCCAUAUACGACUUCCUUUCUCCUGCACUGUCCAAAGCACACGAAUGAUUUUUCUUCUGUUGCAGGGUGAAAUGAAUGUGAUUUCGUGGCCGAGGAUGAGGAAAUAAAAGAAGGGUUCUUCUGGACCCGCAAAGGAGCUCCACCUGCGCGAGUCUCUCCGAAUCGAUGCUGUUUCUCAUGUCC
rnacentral:lncRNA from 1 species